rnacentral:rRNA from 1 species
AUUGAAUGCUGGCGGCAUGCCUUACACAUGCAAGUCGAACGGUAACAGGUCUUCGGAUGCUGACGAGUGGCGAACGGGUGAGUAAUACAUCGGAACGUGCCUAGUAGUGGGGGAUAACUACUCGAAAGCGUGGCUAAUACCGCAUGAGAUCAACGGAUGAAAGUCGGGGAUCGCAAGACCUUGUGCUACUAGAGCGGCCGAUGGCAGAUUAGGUAGUUGGUGGGAUAAAAGCUUACCAAGCCGACGAUCUGUAGGUGGUCUGAGAGGACGAUCAGCCAGGCGGGUACUGAGACCCAGCCGAGACUCUUACAGUAGGAUGCAGUGGGGAAUUUUGGACAAUGGGCGCAAGCCUGAUCCAGCAAUACCGCGUGCAGGAUGAUGGCUUUCGGGUUGUAAACUGCUUUUGUACGGAACGAAAAGACCUGGUUUAAUACCCUGGGGUCAUGACGGUACCGUAAGAAUAAGCACCGGCUAACUACGUGCCAGCCGCCGCGGUAA